UGCACUCUCGCUACGCGCAGUUACAGCGCCAUGGCCGCCACCAUGACACAAACAUCCGUCUCCCGUUUUCCGCCACCUCUUCCUCCAACUUCAAGUUCCUGGCCACCCCUCACUCCGCGAGAACCACCGGACGUACCUACCCAUCUGUGCGCAGGUCUCCAGCACCGAUGCUUCAGCCGCUGCCUCGCGCCGGCCAACGAGUAUCCCCCGCCCCAUCGCGUGUUCCUCGUGCACCGAUGGGCAGAGGAGUGAGCGCUCUAUUUCGGAUCGAUUGUGGAUUCGGCGAAUCGGCGAGCGAGCACAGGACGGUCGGGGCGAAUUCGAACCCCGAUCUGGAUAGGUCGAUGGGGAUCGGAGAUUCGGAGUUCGACGCCUCUUCUAAUCCGCUUGCAGAAAUCGAUUGACCGCUAUAAGUCUUAUAGGAAGGAUAAUAAUGUUAAUAACAAGACAGUACAGCCAGAUAUACAGCAAGUCAAAGCCGAUACUGUAAGCUUGGCAAAGAAACUUGAAGCUCUUGAAGUUUCGAAGCUAAAGAUCUUGGGUGAGAAUUUAGGAGGGUGCUCUGCUGAAGAACUGAACUGUCUGGAAGUAAAUAUUGAGAAGAGUCUCCGCAUCAUCAGAGGAAAGAAGACCCAGGUGCUCGAACAGCAGAUAGCUAACCUGAAAGAAAAGGAGAGGACGCUUCUCAAAGACAACGAAGACUUGCGUGGAAAGCAGCGCGACCUUGAGGCUUCGCUGGUGGUUCCUGCCCUGAACUGCGUCACGCCCCUGCAGCCACGUGGCCAGCUGGCACCAGAGCAGGAACCGGUACCGAGCGACGAGGACGUGGAGACGGAGCUCUACAUUGGGUUGCCCGGGGUUCGCUGCUCCAACCGGCGGUCAGGUUAAGCCAAAUAGCUAAUCAGCCGGAAGGUUGAGCCUCACACAAAUAAACUCUCUACAGAUGCAUGAAGUGGCCAAUCAGUAGUCCACCAUUUCUGUUAUUCUCUAUAUUUAGACAGAAUCUAUAAUCUCUUGCAAAGCUAAAUUAGCGGCUGCGACGAUGUCAAACCUGCAGAGAACCUCUGACGACUGAAGGUGAAACGCCAGUACACCAAUUGUUUCUUGCGCAACGGCCGGCAAAUGGAACUAGGGGAGGCAUUCUUGUUAAAAAUAAUUCUGUAAUUAGGGUAAAAUCUCCCCUUGCCCAAAACCGUCGUUGCAGUUUGUCCCGCAACCGACGUCUCCCUUUGAUCUCCUGGAACCGACGUCUCCUCGAGGGAUCGUCGUGUCUCUUCGGGACAUAUAAAAGGGGGCCUGUAACCAUCGAUCAAAGGAUUUGAUCAUUCUGAUUCAAAACACGUUAUCAGCA